AUCGACCGCCUGGGGAGUACGGCCGCAAGGUUAAAACUCAAAUGAAUUGACGGGGGCCCGCACAAGCGGUGGAGCAUGUGGUUUAAUUCGAUGCAACGCUAAGAACCUUACCUGGUCUUGACAUCCACAGAACUUUCCAGAGAUGGAUUGGUGCCAUCGGGAGGUUAAGUCCCGCAACGAGCGCAACCCUUAUCCUUUGUUGCCAGCGGUCCGGCCGGGAACUCAAAGGAGACUGCCAGUGAUAAACUGGAGGAAGGUGGGGAUGACGUCAAGUCAUCAUGGCCCUUACGACCAGGGCUACACACGUGCUACAAUGGCAUAUACAAAGAGAAGCGACCUCGCGAGAGCAAGCGGACCUCAUAAAGUAUGUCGUAGUCCGGAUUGGAGUCUGCAACUCGACUCCAUGAAGUCGGAAUCGCUAGUAAUCGUAGAUCAGAAUGCUACGGUGAAUACGUUCCCGGGCCUUGUACACACCGCCCGUCACACCAUGGGAGUGGGUUGCAAAAGAAGUAGGUAGCUUAACCUUCGGGAGGGCGCUUACCACUUUGUGAUUCAUGACUGGGG
rnacentral:rRNA from 1 species